AUGUCUGCAUUAGUAAAGUAUUGUGUGUUCAAGAAAUUAGCAUGUUAUCAACCAGUAUGCUAAAGUUCAUGUGGACAAUCAAAAGAAUGGCCAAGAACAUUGCUGCUGGGUUAAUUCUAGCAAGUUUGUAUCCUUAAUAUUGAGGGGAAAAAAACCUUGUUGGCUGCACUACAAGAAUACUGUUUAUUGAUAGCACAAGUUAAUAUCAUGGCCAGCAGACAAAGUGGUUAUCUUUUGGAGCUCCGGUAUGCAUUUAAACUCCUGUGUUUAUAUUUCUUCCCAAAUAAUUUGUUAACAUUGACAAAAUUUCUCUUCUCGGUUCUCAGUAAGUUGUAGGAAUCUGAGUUAAUGAAGAUUGAUUACUUAUUUGAUUGCCUUUGCAUUUGAUUUCUUAUUUUAUGACAGUUCAGAGAUGCUAAGAGAGCUAUCUAUGAAGGUUAAAUUGG
rnacentral:lncRNA from 1 species